GAUGAACGCUGGCGGCGUGCCUAACACAUGCAAGUCGAACGGAGUCCAGCCUUUAAGACCUUCGGGUCAAAGAGGGGAAGACUGAGUGGCGGACGGGUGAGUAACACGUGGGCAACCUGGCUCAUAGAGGGGGAUAACAGAGAGAAAUUUCUGCUAAUACCGCAUAAGCACACACUGCCGCAUGGCAGAGGGUGAAAAGAGAAUCGCUAUGAGAUGGACCCGCGUCUGAUUAGCCAGUUGGCAGGGUAAGAGCCUACCAAAGCGACGAUCAGUAGCCGAUCUGAGAGGAUGAACGGCCACAUUGGGACUGAGACACGGCCCAAACUCCUACGGGAGGCAGCAGUGGGGGAUAUUGCACAAUGGGGGGAACCCUGAUGCAGCGACGCCGCGUGAGUGAAGAAGUAUUUCGGUAUGUAAAGCUAUAUCAGCAGGGAAGAUAAUGACAGUACCUGAAUAAGAAGCCCCGGCUAACUACGUG
rnacentral:rRNA from 1 species